GCGAGAGUAGUUCAAUUGGUUAGAAUGUCUCCUUCCCAAGGAGAAGGUUGCGGGUUCGAGUCCCGUCUCUCGCU
rnacentral:tRNA from 1 species